CAAAAACAUCGCCUCCCGCAAAAAUCAAUGUAUAGGAGGUCUUGCCUGCCCAGUGACUAUAAGUUAAACGGCCGCGGUAUUUUGACCGUGCAAAGGUAGCGCAAUCACUUGUCUUUUAAAUGAAGACCUGUAUGAAUGGUGAAACGAGGGCUUAACUGUCUCCCCCUUCUAGUCAAUGAAAUUGAUCUACCCGUGCAGAAGCGGAUAUAAUAAUACAAGACGAGAAGACCCUUUGGAGCUUAAGAUAAAAGACCAAUUAUGUUAAAAGUCCUAAAACAAUAAACCAAAUAAUGCUGGUCCUAAUCUUCGGUUGGGGUGACCACGGGAGAAAACAAAACUCCCAUGCGGAUUGGGGUUAUUCCCUAAAACUAAGAAAGACAUCUCUAAGACACAGAACAUCUGACCACAAAGACCCGGCUACAUGCCGACCAACGGACCAAGUUACCCUAGGGAUAACAGCGCAAUCCCCUUCCAGAGUCCAUAUCGACAAGGGGGUUUACGACCUCGAUGUUGGAUCAGGACAUCCUAAUGGUGCAGCCGCUAUUAAGGGUUC
rnacentral:rRNA from 1 species